UCUAUUGUACAUGCAAGUUAUCCAAGACUAUAAACCCUAAUUCUAGCAUUCAAGUAAUCAUAUUAACAUGAGAAUGAGUUUAAGAUAUUGCCUUGAUUUUUAUAUAGCAAUAACAAUCCCAAUUCCUCCUAGUAUUGACUUUAGAAAGCUUAGAGUCACAAAUGUCACUCCUCUAAUGGUUCACAAACACCAAGAGAAAGAGGAUGAGGAGGAGAGAGGAUGGAGGCUGCCCAAAAACGUCUACAAACCCUAGAGAAGUCUUAGCCACGUUUUUGGGUCAUAAGGGUCAUACAUAUAGUGAGGCUAUUAGGGUUAUCUAACCAGGAAACCCUAAUUUGGAUGCUUAAGCCCUAAGCAACCCAUGGACUCCUUUAAUUAAGGCCUUGGACGAUUUCCCCAUGGGUUUCCCAUAGAAUUCGUCCACUCCUUAAUUUAAGACAAUCCAUAGCCCAUAUUGCAAUUAUCUUAUAAUUACAAUUCCAGUCCCUUAAGUUUAAUUAAUCUCUUUUAGUCACAAAACUAAUUACCAAUUAAUUCUUGACUAAUAUUAAUUAAACAAUAUGAUUUCUCCUUUAAUAUAUUAUUCUCAUAAUAUAUUAAUAAAUCAUAUUUAAUCCUUUCUCUCCAUAAUUCAUCCUAUCAAGUUGCUUUGGUGAAGGCAACCCAAAAGGACCAUGCACCAUCGGGUCAAGUACAUACCAAAAUAGUUAUGGACUUAGACACUAAUCCAACAGUCUCCCACUUGGAUAAGUCUAAUAACUAUUAUGCGUAUGACUUCAGAUCCUGAUCUGCAAUCGUAGCUUUCCAAAGCCGCUGUCAACUCUGAUCCUAUCAGAUACGCGUGUCCUUUAGAUAAGGGAUCAUAUAUUCCUCCAUUCUAGAUAUCAUAUGAGAUAUGAUUUCAAAUCAUUCUCUUUGUACUAUAUCUCGAUUCCCGAUUUAUGACGACUGACUAAUUGAACAAAUCAAAUUAGCCCUAGCCCGGCCGAGCAUUUACGUUUGUCAUCACUAAAUCAUCGAGGGGCCCAAAGAUAUCGCUUUUAUCCUACUUUGGAUAAAAGGAACGGAUAAACUUUGAUACAAUGCUUGCUUGCACUCACUCACCGAAUCACACACAACAAUAUGUUUUAUAACACCAAGUUACUAGUGCGUUUACAUAUUAUCAAUGUGCAACCGAUUUGCAAGAUACAACUCACACAUCUCGGUUUCAAGAAUAUAAGAUGUUAUCGUCUCACCAAUCACUCGUGAUACAAUUCAUGGAGUGAUCCAAGUGAGCGUGGGUUUAAUCCAAUGCUCAAAUCAUAUUCAUAAGCACUCAUGAACGUUGCAGCAAACAUUUGCUUAUGUCUAAUACUCUUUUAGACAAUCCACACACCAAUUCACGACAGUCUUCAUUCAUAUCUACUUCCAACAUAUGAACGACUGUGGCCCGUUCGAAUAAUUCGAUUAUUCUUAAUAAAUUCAAUUAUUCUGGAAGUCAAAACAUGCAAAUGUGAAACACAAGAAUAAUACUAAUCCCAUAUGGCCUCAAACCUUUGAGUAUAAAUAAAACUCCUUUUAUUUAUCACCAUAUCGAUUACUCAUUAUUUGUCGUUUCGGGUAAUCAACUUCUUACUUGAAUUAUUACACUUGUCCCAUGCUCUUAGCAUGCACACAAUGUUUACCUAUGGUUCUUACUUUUGUGAAAUAGAUCAAAUUGAACACAUUUCCAAUCAUUCUCAUUUCACAACUCCAAAUCCUUUUUCAUAAGUGUGAGAAUAUCAAAUUCUUGUUACUUAUAAAAUAUGCUAGAUUCUAACAUUCUAUGCAAUGAUCCUUUCGUAAUGUCACUGCACCAAAGUCACAAAGACUAUUGCCAAUGAUAUUACAAAGUCCUCUAUCGGAGAUUGUUACAAGACAAUUCCUUAGAUAUGAUGUCUCUCACUCAAAGUACAUUCCUUUGAACAUCCUUUUGCAUAAAAGUUUCUAAUCUAGACAUAGAUUUUCAAUAUUCAAUUCCCAAUAUGGACACGUUUCCAUAUUUUCCAUAUGACAACUCAUUCUUAAUAGAAUCUUAUCUAUUCGUAAUGAUGUCGAUAUGGUCCAUCCAAUAUGGAAACAUUUCCAUAAUUUCCAUAUGACAACUCAUUCUUAAUAGAAUCUUUUCUAUUCAUAAUAAUGUCGAUAUGGUCCAUCCAAUACCAUGCUUCCAACUACUCACAAGCGACCAAUCCUCGUCGAACUUUGGAUUGUCCUUUGAUAGUUGUUUAAUUAUUUUAGUCAAAACCAAUUCUAGUCCCUUUUCCCUCUAAAUGCGCUCGACAUUUGGAAAAUUUUAGAAUGGUCAAACAUUAAAGCAUUUGCAAUCGAUCCUAUACCCGAAGCGUAUGGGACACGACGCAUAAUGUUUUAUUUGCUAUGUUCUCAAAAUUCGAAUUGUGAAGAGGAAUGCCGUAAUCAUAAUCGAAAUUUUAAGAACACACUAUGUACCUUUGACUAAAUUUAUUAACAUUUCUCAACCUAAGCCUUUAGAUUUGAAAUGAAGCAUAAUAUUCUCUCCCUUAAUUAUAGCAAAACAACUUUACAACCCUUACGACUUUGCAAGGUAUAACUCUUGUUUUCUAUAAUUAAUAUUGCCAACUUGCAAUACGUGCCUUAAUAAUCAUACAAUCAUAACAUUUAUGCUCCCACUAUCAUGAUGAUUAUUAUAAAACAUAACACUUAUGCUCCCACUAGCUUCGACAUGUAUUCAUAAACAUCUUAACUUUCAGAAAAACAAUACUUAUUGAAUUUCUUAAGUUCAUGUUUCUAAUACUUAGUGCUUUGAUAAUCUUUUAUCAAGGCUUCUUGAACUUAUACACCUUUGCCUUCGAUAGUUCAUAUGUGUGUCUAAACAAUUAAGACUAAUUGCCAAACCUCACAAUUCAAAUUAUGGAAAGGGAUACCGUAACCAUAAUCGAAUUCGAGAAUGCAAUUUUACAAUCACUAUCUUCUUAAAAUCUUUCUUAGUGAAAGCAUUUCCUCACAAUCAUUUUCAUGAAGGAGGAAAUCUUAUGACACUUAGAUUUAAACGGUGUAUGUGUUCCUAUCCAUGUGAAUUUGUUAAAACCAAAGUUUACGACAAAUUCAAACUCAUAUGGACCGAACUUUCUUAAUCUUGAUUUCUUGCCUUAUGGUAGCACAGCUGCCCACCAUGUCUUCCAAGUAGUUAAGCAGCUCACCCUUUCCUAUCAAUGUACCUUUCAUUGAUUAAGGUGCUUUGCCUUUUAUGCGUUCAAAAUGAGAACUCAUAGAACUCACAUGCAUAAUUAACUCGAUUGGAUUGGCACAGAAACAAAAUAAUGUCAACACGAUAGGUUGUAAACCUCAACUCGUGUGCUAGUGAUGAUCGAUAAGGUUUAUUUGAUUUGUUCUUGAAACCUUUCAAGACCAUUAAGACUCCCACUGACUCCUUGACAUAUAAGAUUCUCUUGUCAAUAAACAUUUCUUGACAAACAAAUAUUCAAGAGUUAGUGUAGCUUUUAUCAAAACACUUCAUAAAUUGGUCCUAGUUGGUCUUUGUCUUAUCCAAGACAUCACAACUUUCCACAUUUGAUGAAUGUUAUAAACCUUCUUAAUACUUAUCACUCAAUGUCACAAUCUUAACUCUAAGACUUGUUUUGGAACGAAGUAUGAUUGACUUCUUGAUUUAACCAUUUCUUCAAUUCUUGAUUCCUCUUCUUAGACAUACAAUUGUACUAAGACUCACUUAGAGGAUCAAUUGAGAUAUGGUUCUUAAUCAUUAAGACCUAUCAUAAAGCAUAAAAGGUACUCUCCCUUCUUCUUAGAAUGGAGAAACUUUUAUCUUUCUGCCUACUUGAUUCUUCUUAUUCGUUCUGCUAUUGAUUUAAACUUUUUCAAUCAAUUCAGAAUUACACUUAAUCUUAUAAGUAUAAUCAUAUUUACUAAACCUUUAGUAAAUCAUGACGAAUAUCUUUGUUACUCUUAUGGUGGACUUGAUCAACACGCAACUUUGUGUACUCGAUCUCCUAGUCCUUCACUUGACACUUUGUCAAUGAAUUAGUCUAAUUUCCAAAUAUGAAAUUUCUCAUUCAUCGUGCAACCAAGUUGCAUGAUUCCAAGUUUCUGUCCAAUUGAAACUUGGGCGAUGAGAAACUCUCCCUAUUUGGUAAAUUCUCGACUUUCCAUAAAUAACAUAAUAAGAACCAAAUCCAUUAUUGCUAAUAAUAGAAACAUUCAAACAUCAAUUUUUCAUAUACGCCAUUGCAAGGAUAAAUAAAUAAUAUAAAAUCAAAAUUUAUUUUAUUGCGGAAAAAAUUUGUCCUUACAAUGCAAUUCAUUGAAAAACUAUGCUAAUACAUCUUUCUUAGCAAUCUAAUUCUAACUCUAAGUAGUAGCUCAAGAAUCUAAUCUUCGAGAAAUGCGAUCGAAAUCCAUUCCUUCACGGUUAGAUUCUGCUCACUUCUUCCCUUAAGCUUCCUUUCUUUUCUUCGAUCCUACAAAACAUCAAUUGUAAUCUUAUCACAUUAUGUAUUAAGAAUCUAGAAUAGAAGCUUAAAAGAGUUAGUUAAUGGAUUUUACCUAUAUUAGAGCCAUACGUUUCGACUCUCCCAUCUCUUAGAUCUCUUAGGUAAAUAGGGCAGCUUCGUCUCCAAUGCCCUUUCUCUUGGCAAUAAAAGCAAAUUGACUCUUUUGGAACAUGACAUGGAACUACUUCAGACAUUGCCUUUCUCUUAUGAUCAAACUUUUCGAUCAUAGCAUGUCUUUCGUUGCCAUUGUCUAUAUCCAUAGAGGUCUUGAAGGCAGAUUCACCAAUCAACUUUGCUUUUCUAUUGCGCCAAACCAUUGCUGAUUCAGCAGCAAUAAGCAUAUAGGUGAGAUCUAUAAGGGUCACGUCGCAGUUCAUCAUAUAGUACUCUCUUACGAACUCACUAUAUGAGUUAGGAAGUGACAGAAGAACCCAAUCAACAACCAUCUCCUCAUAGAGAACGGAUCCUAACAUUCUUAACCUAUCAAUGUGUGACUUCAUCCCUAGGACGUGUGCACACACCGACUUUCCUUCUUUAUGUUUACUUGCCAAAAGGGCUUGAGUGAUCUUGAACUUUUCAAGCCUUUGAACUUGUGGGUUAGGGAGAAUAAUUGGAGGAGGAGGAGGAAGUGAAGCAUGAUUUCUUGUUCCUCGAUCGAAUCGUGGAAUAUCAUCUUCAUGUGGAAUGCUUGUUCCACGGGAUUUGGGAAGACCAUAGUUGUCGAACUUUGACAUCUACAAAACGGGAGAAAACGAAUUCAAGUUAGUUGAUUGAUUGAGUCCUUAGUAAAUCACCCAAAUGAGAUACUAAGGCUAGGACCCAACACAAUAUUCUACAACUCGGGAGAGGGAUGCCGUAACCCUAAUUGCAGAAUAUUUGAAGGUAAGUGAAUGACGAUUCACUAAUUUCCACCAUGAAAAACGAAAAAGAAAUUUAAGUUUUAAAUCUAUGAAAACUCCUAGAUCCUUUGAGAUUCAUUGAACUUUCAAUGGCAUGUUUAAAUCUCGAUAUGCCCCUCUUGUUUGUGACUGGGAUGCCGAGGAUCACAAAGCGGGUGUGAAUAACCAUGCAAACUUACAUGGUGCCCUCACAUGUUACAGUCACCUAUUCGAUGUGCCGGUAAACCACACACGCUCCACCGAACUAUGACAAACAUUGAGUCACCCUUUGCUACCUUUGCUUAGAACCAUUUAGUGUGCCGGUAAACCACACACGCUCCACUAACGUCUUCGCAAGGGCACAAAGUGUAAUUUCAUGGAAUUGCAUCAAUUCACUUUUGCCUAAGUAACUAAGAUUGGGAAUUUUAUGAAAACAUUUAGUUACUUUAGUAAUUCAUUAUACUUAUAAUGGAAGGUUUCGUCCUAUCCUACCCGUUCGGCUAACGACCCUCCACUAGUCAAGAGUGCGGUGGGUAAGAGUGGAUACCCAUUCAAUCGCCAUUUUAUAGGCAAUUUCCUUAAACACCCCUUAUAGACCAGCUUCGUGAAUGAGGCCUACUAACGGUAAGACUGACUUUUACUCAUACAUAUAUAUAAUGUUAGACUUUUAAUGUUAUAUAUAGUAUAGGGUGUAUUUUACACUUUUAAAAUACUAGGUGGUCUAAUUUAACAAUUAUACUUUUAAUUCAAUUAAAUUGUAAACCUAAACUUUUAUGGAUUUAUUAAACCUCUUUUAAUUAUACACCUUAAUUAAUUAAUAAAACCAUAAGGGUGUGAUUUGAAUUUUUCAAAACAAUACUAGGGUUUUAGAAUUUAACAUUCCUAAUUAAACCUUUAAUCAACUUUUAAAUUCCAAAACUUGAGGGCAAGUUUUGAAACAUUUCAAAACAUUAGGGUUUAGAAUUUAAAUAUUUCAAAAUCAAACUUUUCAAUCAAAAUUUAAAUUCCAAAACUUGAGGGCAAGUUUUGAAACCUUUUUCAAAACAUUAGGGUUUCAACUAUUUAAAUUUCAAAACAAAACUUUUGAGUUCAAAUUUAAACUAUAAAACCUAAAGGGAUUAAUUUGAAACUUUUCCAAACUUUGUCAAGAAUAUUCUAGAUCACAUAAUUCAAAUAAGGCAAUUAACUAUAAUUGGUGGUUAUCUAAUUAGAUCUAGUUCAAAUUCUUGCAAGAUAAUGAUCAAAUAAUUUCCAUAACUUAACAUAUAUCAAAUAAGGUAACAAUUAUCUAAUUAGAUGACCAAAAUCUUUUAUUUUGGCAAGGAUAAUCAUAAGGGAUUAACAAAAUUCGAUGUUUAUUAAGUUUAAACAAUUAUGGCAAUUAUCCUAAGUCAAAAUAGGUAAAAAAUCCCGAAAAUCCGCCUGUCUGACAGCUAAACUCGCCGAGUCCCCUUAUGGACUCGCCGAGUCCCCUUUGACUCGCCGAGUUCACCCUACUCGACGAGUCCACAUUGGAACUCGACGAGUUUGUCAGGCAGAUGGCCAAAAACUCGAUCUUGCAACAUGAAUGAACGUACUAGGCAUCAAUACAAUAGAAACCAAUCAAGGCUCUGAUACCACUAAUGGGUUUUGGCGAUAAGAACAUCCUAUGUGCUCAUGCAACCCUAAUGCUUGGAUCUAGAUUUCUCUAUUGUACAUGCAAUUCAUCCAAUACUUUAAACCCUAGUUCUAGCAUACNAUGAGUUUAAGAUAUUACCUAGGUUGUUAUAUAGCAAUAACAAUCCCAAUUCCUCCUUGUAUUGACUUUAGAAAGCUUAGAGUCACAAAUGUCACUCCUCUAAUGGUUCACAAACACCAAGAGAAGGAGGAUGAGGAGGAGAGAGGAUGGAGGCUGCCCAAAAACGUCUACAAACCCUAGAGAAGUCUUAACCACGUUUUUGGGUCAUAAGGGUCAUAUAUUUAGUGAGGCUAUUAGGGUUAUCUAACCAGGGGCUUCCUGAGUACGUGGUCCAUCCAAAACAAGGGGGAGAAUGAGCUUCAAAAGGCAAUAAUCAAUCUCAACCGCCUCCUACUUCUACAUCAACUUCAACUAAAGCAACCGAACCUCCAACAACUGGUCAUGCUUCAGGUUCGGGUGCUCAAGACAAAGGGAAAAACGUUCUUGAUGACAGUGAUGGCGACGAUGACAAAAAAGCCAUUGCUGAUAUCUUGAAGAAACAGGCCAGGGAUAAGGAUCCAGACAUGAGUGCUCGGAUCGCU
rnacentral:lncRNA from 1 species